AAUUCUGAAACCUCAGGUCAGUUUCAGGGUGACCGGACUUCUCGGUGGUGACUAACAGCUCAGACCCCAGUGCCCACAACACUACCAGUUGUAUCAGAGGGAUCAACAUCCCAGGAGCCCAAGGAUGAAUGAGUGAAUGACAGCAGAAAGGGAGCCAAGAAAGAAGUCAGCCUAUGAACUAUGGGAACACAAGUCAGGAGUGGCCACCACUCUGUUCUCUUAACAAAAGGCAGGACACUUCACACCCAAGUAACCAGUGCACUUUGAGAAACAUAAAGCCUUUCAUGUUCGAAGAAAAAUAAACCAAUUUUUAUACUCGAGAAUACAAUA